UGGGGAAUUUUGGACAAUGGGCGAAAGCCUGAUCCAGCAAUGCCGCGUGUGUGAAGAAGGCCUUCGGGUUGUAAAGCACUUUUGUCCGGAAAGAAAUCCUUGGCUCUAAUACAGUCGGGGGAUGACGGUACCGGAAGAAUAAGCACCGGCUAACUACGUGCCAGCAGCCGCGGUAAUACGUAGGGUGCAAGCGUUAAUCGGAAUUACUGGGCGUAAAGCGUGCGCAGGCGGUUUGCUAAGACCGAUGUGAAAUCCCCGGGCUCAACCUGGGAACUGCAUUGGUGACUGGCAGGCUAGAGUAUGGCAGAGGGGGGUAGAAUUCCACGUGUAGCAGUGAAAUGCGUAGAGAUGUGGAGGAAUACCGAUGGCGAAGGCAGCCCCCUGGGCCAAUACUGACGCUCAUGCACGAAAGCGUGGGGAGCAAACAGGAUUAGAUACCCUGGUAGUCCACGCCCUAAACGAUGUCAACUAGUUGUUGGGGAUUCAUUUCCUUAGUAACGUAGCUAACACGUGAAGUUGACCGCCUGGGGAGUACGGUCGCAAGAUUAAAACUCAAAUGAAUGAC
rnacentral:rRNA from 1 species